AACGAACGCUGGCGGCAGGCCUAACACAUGCAAGUCGAGCGAGGACUUCGGUCCUAGCGGCGGACGGGUGAGUAACGCGUGGGAACGUGCCCUUUGCUUCGGAAUAGCCCUGGGAAACUGGGAGUAAUACCGGAUGAGCCCUUUGGGGGAAAGAUUUAUCGGCGAAGGAUCGGCCCGCGUUGGAUUAGGUAGUUGGUGGGGUAAUGGCCUACCAAGCCGACGAUCCAUAGCUGGUUUGAGAGGAUGAUCAGCCACACUGGGACUGAGACACGGCCCAGACUCCUACGGGAGGCAGCAGUGGGGAAUCUUAGACAAUGGGGGAAACCCUGAUCUAGCCAUGCCGCGUGAGCGAUGAAGGCCUUAGGGUUGUAAAGCUCUUUCAGCUGGGAAGAUAAUGACGGUACCAGCAGAAGAAGCCCCGACUAACUCCGUG
rnacentral:rRNA from 1 species